rnacentral:rRNA from 1 species
UAGAUUGUAAAGAAAUUAACUGUGUAUCGGUGAAAUGCGUAGAUAUUAGGAAGGAACACCAGUGGCGAAGGCGGCUAUCUGGACUGUUACUGACGCUGAGGUGCGAAAGCGUGGGGAGCAAACA